AUAUCAAUAAGCGGAGGAAAAGAAACCAACAGGGAUUGCCUUAGUAACGGCGAGUGAAGCGGCAAAAGCUCAAAUUUGAAAUCUAGCACUUUCAGUGUUCGAGUUGUAAUUUGAAGAAGGUAACUUUGGAAUUGGCCUCUUGUCUAUGUUCCUUGGAACAGGACGUCACAGAGGGUGAGAAUCCCGUGCGAUGAGAUGUCCAAUUCUAUGUAAAGUGCUUUCGAAGAGUCGAGUUGUUUGGGAAUGCAGCUCUAAGUGGGUGGUAAAUUCCAUCUAAAGCUAAAUAUUGGCGAGAGACCGAUAGCGAACAAGUACAGUGAUGGAAAGAUGAAAAGAACUUUGAAAAGAGAGUGAAAAAGUAC
rnacentral:rRNA from 1 species